rnacentral:rRNA from 1 species
GACGGAGGAUGCAAGCGUUAUCCGGAAUGAUUGGGCGUAAAGCGUGCGCAGGCGGCUUUGCAAGACAGGUGUGAAAUCCCCGGGCUCAACCUGGGAACUGCAUUUGUGACUGCAUGGCUGGAGUGCGGCAGAGGGGGAUGGAAUUCCGCGUGUAGCAGUGAAAUGCGUAGAUAUGCGGAGGAACACCGAUGGCGAAGGCAAUCCCCUGGGCCUGCACUGACGCUCAUGCACGAAAGCGUGGGGAGCAAACAGG